rnacentral:rRNA from 1 species
GGUAGUGACAAAAUAUAACAAUGCCGGGCCUUUUCAGGUCUGGCAAUUGGAAUGAGUACAAUUUAAAUACCUUAACGAGGAUCACUGGAGGGCAAGUCUGGUGCCAGCAGCCGCGGUAAUUCCAGCUCCAGUAGCGUAUAUUAAAGUUGUUGCAGUUAAAAAGCUCGUAUUUGGAUUUCUGGCGUGGUGCGCCCGGCCCGCCGCCGCUAAGGCGGCGAGUGCCGGCGCGCGCCUGCCAUCCUU